rnacentral:lncRNA from 1 species
UACAUGGCUAAUUGCAACAAAACACUAUUAUUUUGCUUACAUUAUUUACCUUGGUGUACACACGAACAUGAAUACAUUUUAUCACACCCAUGCAUGCUAUACUAUACUACAAACGAUGUUCACGUAGUCUUAACUAUACUACAAACGAUGUCCAUGUGGUCUUCACAGAUCACACAAAGACACUGGCCAAAACCGAUAGGCGGAGCACACAUCAAAUAUGCAUACAAUUCAACCAUAACCUAUACUAUUACCAUGAAAGUCAUUGCCAUUAUUUUUCUAUAUUGGGGAACCAUACUAUUUUGUGUCCCAUAUAGUAUAGUAUAAUACUUCAUCUUCUUCACCCUCCCCUGUAACACCCACUAACUAUG